UGAGUAACCUGCCCUUAACUCUGGGAUAAGCCUGGGAAACUGGGUCUAAUACCGGAUAUGACUCCUCAUCGCAUGGGUGGGGGGUGGAAAGCUUUUUGUGGUUUUGGAUGGACUCGCGGCCUAUCAGCUUGUUGGUGAGGUAAUGGCUUACCAAGGCGACGACGGGUAGCCGGCUGAGAGGGUGACCGGCCACACUGGGACUGAGACACGGCCCAGACCUCCGUACGGGAGCAG
rnacentral:rRNA from 1 species